rnacentral:rRNA from 1 species
GAUGAACGCUGGCGGCGUGCCUAAUACAUGCAAGUCGAGCGAACAGACGAGGAGCUUGCUCCUCUGACGUUAGCGGCGGACGGGUGAGUAACACGUGGAUAACCUACCUAUAAGACUGGGAUAACUUCGGGAAACCGGAGCUAAUACCGGAUAAUAUAUUGAACCGCAUGGUUCAAUAGUGAAAGACGGUUUUGCUGUCACUUAUAGAUGGAUCCGCGCCGCAUUAGCUAGUUGGUAAGGUAACGGCUUACCAAGGCAACGAUGCGUAGCCGACCUGAGAGGGUGAUCGGCCACACUGGAACUGAGACACGGUCCAGACUCCUACGGGAGGCAGCAGUAGGGAAUGUUCCGCAAUGGGCGAAAGCAUUACGGAGCAACGCCGCGUGAGUGAUGAAGGUCUUCGGAUCGUAAAGCUCUGUUAUUAGGGAAGAACAAAUGUGUAAGUAACUAUGCACGUCUUGACGGUACCUAGUCAGAAAGCCACGGCUAACUACGUG